ACGCUUGUGUCUCACCCCAGACAAGGACUUCAGCCACACUGGGCCCCGUCCCCGCCUCAGGGCCGCUGGAAACUCCCACUCCAGGAGCGCGCUCAGCCCUGUGUGCGUGGUGUCCCUUUAUUAUCCUGAACUAGAAGACUGCUUCUCAGCAAAAUGGGCCUGCGGUCAGCUUGCCGCUGGUUGCAGCCCUCCCGGCUGACACAUGCCCGUGUGCACUGUAACCCACUCUGCUGCCUGUCCCGCCUGUCCCACUUGCCGAGAAGCCGCUGUCCUUACGUCAGGUAGAGCCUCUUUUCUUACAUUUAAAAAGAAAAGGAGUUGUUCAGUCACUAAGUCACGUCUGACCCCGUGGACUGCAGCAUGCCAGGCUUCCUUGUUCUCCACCGUCUCCCGGAGUUUGUUCAAACUCACGUUGGUUGAGUCAGAACAGAUGACUAAAUACACCCGCUUAGAGUCGUUUUAGCCUGAGAUGGACGCAGCCCCAGUGGGCUCGGCCCUGGGGCUCUGGCCGCCCCUUCGGAGCUGGGCCCGCAUGGCUACGGGGGUGGCGGUAGGCCGGCCGCGGGCCUGGCCCUGGAGCCCAGGUUCCCUGGGGCCGUGUCUGCAGGGCUCCUGUGUUCUCCUGGAAUCCUCACCCCACCCCCCCAGCCUUGCCGGCACUGGGCGCAGGCCUCCAGCAGGAGCUCUACCACUUGGGGGCCCCUCCCCAAGGGUUUCAACGCCCAGACGGCUGUGUCACAGGACCGCACCCAGAUGGACUGUCGCAAGCUGCCACCCUCCCACCCCGCCUCCAAGACCGGCUCUCUUGCAAAGGCCCCUGGAGGCCUGCAUCCUCCCCUCCCCACGAAGUUGCUCACGCUCUGUCUCUCGGGGUGGGGCCCGUGUGUUUCUCCCAGGACCCCCGUGCAUGCUCUCCCAACCCCCGCCUGACUUCUGCACCUUCUCUCCUGCCUCCCCACCUGGCGUCAGCCCAUUUCACAGGCUGCCCUUCGGAGCCACCAGGGUCAAGGACCGCGCUUGCCGCCCUCCAUGGCUUUGAGCCCCAAGGCGAUGGCUCACAGGCAACUGUCCAGGAGACCAUGGAGGCGGGGACCCUCCGCUUACAGUGUCCGAGUGCGGACCGCCCGCUCUAGCUCAUGGUCUGCUGGCUGCAGGCCCAUCCCCUGCCUGGGGGCCGGACGGCAGGCCCGGGUCCGGAGGGUCAUGGCCAGAGAGGGGCCCUCAGGUCCUGGGCUCCCUGCCACCAUGAAGACGGCGCACGCACGUGUGCGAAGGCCCGAGACACACGCCCGAAAGAAACAGGAAACAGGACAGCGUCAUCUUCCGCAGGCGAGCUCAGCCUGUGGCUCCACCGCGCUCCUCGAUUCUGGGCUCUCCCAGCACAGACUCCAGAGGGCAGUGUCCGCAGUCACUGACUGCCCCAGGGGCAGCAUCAGGGUCUUUUCCAAGGAGUCAGAGCUUCCCUGGUGUCCCUUCAACACUGCUUUCCUGGGCUCCCGAGCUGAGGCCUGCUCCUGCCCUCCUGCUGAAGGCCCUGCACACGACGUGAGGCCGGGCCAACCGGAACGACAGAGUCUGGAGCAGAGAAAGUUUCACCACGGGGCUGAGCCAGAGGGCUGGGCGGCUCUUCUCAGGAGACCCAGACUCCCCAUUGGGCUUGAGGAGUCUUAGGGGCAGGAUGUGGGGCAGGGCUGCAAGGUGUGUGCCUUCCUUUGAGGAGGGCGUGGGAGAUGAGGGCAAGUGCCCAGGACCCUGGGCUCAGCCUGCAGUCCGUCCUCGGGGCGGGGGCCUCCGUCCUUACAGCAGCGCCGGGCAUCCGGCUGUGAGUCCUGGGGGCACAGGACUCUGCCCCCGCCCCCAAGGCUGCACCUUUGUUUCCUGGCCGCCCCUCCCUUCCCUGAUUGGCUACUGCUGGAAUCUGCACUUGGGAGGGAAGAGAAGGUCUAGGAGGCUGAAUCCUUUCUCCAGGAGGAAAUGGGGGAACGCAGAAAGGUUUCGUACCCGAGAGGGCCCCACAGGGUCCUGACUGUUUUCACUCCUGGGUUGUCAGCUGGGGGCCUUGCAAUAUGACUGAUUAGCAAGAGGAAAUCGAGCGUUUACCCACGGGGGCACCUCCUGUCCACAGCGGAGGCGCCUAGGCGGAGAGCACCUCAAAGAGGAGCCUGGAGUUCAGGAAGAAGAACCGUCUCCCGCUGGGCGUCCCUGGGGCUCAGACAGCAGAGGGUCCGCCCGGAAUGCCAGAGAUUCGAGUUCGAUCUCUGGGUCGGGAAGAUUCCCUUGGAGGAGGGCAUGGCUACCCACCCCAGUAUUCUUGCCUGGAGACUCCCAUGGACAGAAGAGCCUGGCGGGCUACAGUCCACGGGGUCGCAGAGUCAGACAGGACUGAGUGACUAACACUUUCAGCAUCUUCAGUUAAGGCUGAGAAAGUGUGUGGAGGCCAGUUGCAGGAAGGGGACUCAGAAUGAUUAACAGAUACAGAUACAGUCGUGCAGACUUCAGUCUCCGCUGAUUUGGUAUCAGCCUUCUCUCCUGACUCAGACAGGAGACUCCCUUACAAACAGAGAUUUCCCUUGUGGAUGAAAAAGCAUUUCUGCCAUAUCAGUAAACAAUGUUGCAGACAGCCGGCCCUUGUACCACGGUGGUGAGCCCCCAGGGAGCCUGGAAUGCGGACACUCCCAGGGUGGGGUGAGGGUGUUGCUUUGCUGGGCUAGCUUGCUGAGGACUUGCCGGGAGUGAGUGUCUCAGAUGGCUCUCAGGGAGAGCUCUGAAGAGGCGAGGGAGGAGCUGGGAUCCAUGGGAGCUUUUGCAACAAAGACCAGGUGGUUGGAGCAUGGGAAGAUACUAUUACUUACAGAAAACCAAGCAUCUCAGGUUGGUGGAUUUAGCCCCUUUCUGUGAAUGGGAAGAGGCGAGAGUCAGCUCACUGACGCCGCUCCCUUGAUGUGCAGCUCAGCUACCUGCCGGGCCAGUGUCCUGGGCUCUCUCACCCUGAGUCCCUCUGCCCCGGGGUGGCUGCAGCCCCUCUGUCUGCACUCCGAGUCCCCCCAGGACCCCCUUUCUGGGGCAGCUGUGGUGGCUGGGUGGCUGCAGCAUUGCUGGUCUACUCGUUAGCGCUAGGCACUCAGUCGGGUCUGACUCUGCGGCCCCAUGGACUGUAGCCCGCCAGGCCCCCCGUCCACAGGAUUCUCCGCAAGAGCACGGGAGCGGGUGGUCCUGCCUCCUCCAGGGGGUCCUCCUGCUUCGGCAGGUGGGUGCCUUACCACUGGCGCCACCUGCAGGGGCUGAUACGCAGCAGCGUGUUUCGCUCACAGCCCUGCAAGCCCAGUCUGGCGCCAGGGGGUGAGCUGCCAAGGACAAAGCUCACGUUGCCGGAGCGACUGCAGGUCUUCGCUCAGAACCUGGAAACCCUCACCUUCGGCAGGAGUGGACGUGAAACUCUGAGGUAGAGUUUCCAGAGAUGAGAGUGGCGGCCACAAGCCCGGCUGGAAGCAGCGGGGACCACGAUGGUGACGAGUCUGACCUCCAGCAGAGCCCGAGUCUCACUUGAAGCUGGUUUGACUACUUUAGGUACUAGAUGGCAAACCUAGCAGCGGCCGUGGGAGGAUGCAGACCGGAAAAGCAUGAGACGGGCCGGCAGCCCUCUCCCUCAGAAAAGCCCGACGCCUCCCCGUCCUCAGCAUCGCUCCUCCUCCUCUGUCUCUCCUCUUGGGAAUUAAACCGCCCUCUCCAGGUGGGGCGAGAAUUGCUCUGUGAACUCGGUUCCUGCUUUUCCGUUCUUUCCACUGAAUUAAACCUGCGCUGUGUUGAUCUCUACUUGGUUUUAGCUGCUCCAGCCUGAAUGGGAAAGGAACGUCUCCUGCCAAGGCAGGGAGCCGCGGCCUGGCUGGGGCCUGAGCAGGGUCCCCACAGAUCAACUCGGUAGCAUGUGGAGGACCCCGGCCUGAGGCAGGAUCAGACUCUGGGGAGACGCAGCCUCAGGUGGGUGAGGAGGAGCUAAGACACUGAGCCCGUCCGUGGAUCAAGCAUGAGACAGGCCGAGAUUCAGAUCCAGACUCAGGAGACAUGCUCUCAUUGUGGAAAGAGAAAGGGAUUCUCCCCCUUGUUCUGCAGGAAAGAAAAAAUUCAAAAACGUGUCCAUGAGUUAAUCUUUCGAGCUUUUAUCAGAUAAGCCGAAAGUAUUUAAGAACAUUUUCGAAUCAACACUUCACUGGAUUCCCAGAAAUACUUUUGUAUUUUGGCAAUACAGCAAACGAUAAGACGUGAUUCCCAGCACAAGUGAACUGCAGAGUUCCGGCUCCUCUAGCCCUGGAGACGCAAGGCGGGAGCAGGAAGUCUGCUUGCUUCCGGUUAAGCAGCCGGUCUGGCCCCGUCAGUGCGGCAGCAGGUAGAACACAAGCGGGCGAGGAAGGGAGAUCUCAGGGAGACGCGUGGGGGUCUGCACCGGCAGGCAAGGGAGCAGCCUGUGAGUAUCGGUGUGAAGAAAAACUCACGUCUUAUGGCGAGACGAGGAAAAGUAAGCGUGGGAAGUCUCUGCCCUCUGGCCUCCUCUCCUGCACUGGGCAUCUCCUGGACCACCACAUUGGCAGGAACACCCGCCCAGCUGAAGAGCAGCCUCCCGCCAGCAUCAGCAAGACGACUCUUUAUCGACAGCACUUGUUGGUAAUCUCAGAAGAGGUCACAUGACCCACUGCAAUGAUGCCGUUUGCGUCUGACUAAGAACUGUUGCUUUGAUGUACAGUCCUGUGUCUCAGAACUCGUGUGUAACUGUGCCUUGAUUUCUGGUGGGUGGACCAGUUCUCAGGGCUUUCCGAGACGCUCCUCAGGUCAUAAUCCUUGACUCUGGCUCAAAUAAAGCUUUCCAUUUUUUUCUUAGAUCGACUGAUUAAUUGUUCAUCAAGUUUAACUUCUUAUUUUCCGGAUCCUCCUGAUGAUAAUCUAUUCCCUUCUUGCUUCUUUAUAACCAAGAGCCU
ensembl:lncRNA